CAUGCUGAAGAUUUCUCACUGGAUGAUAAUAUUCUAUGGUCAAGUAAACCACCUGAAGUUGAUAGCUAUCAAAUUGAGAUGUUAACUGAGAACAAUCAAUGUUAUACCAUUAGGAGACAGCCA